GGGUGUGCUACUUUCCGUAGCACAGGUUUUGGGCAGGUCGGGCCGCCUCCC
rnacentral:ncRNA from 12 species